UAGGGAAUCUUCCACAAUGGACGCAAGUCUGAUGGAGCAACGCCGCGUGAGUGAAGAAGGUUUUCGGACCGUAAAGCUCUGUUGUUGGUGAAGAAGGAUAGAGGUAGUAACUGGCCUUUAUUUGACGGUAAUCAACCAGAAAGUCACGGCUAACUACGUGCCAGCAGCCGCGGUAAUACGUAGGUGGCAAGCGUUGUCCGGAUUUAUUGGGCGUAAAGCGAGCGCAGGCGGAAGAAUAAGUCUGAUGUGAAAGCCCUCGGCUUAACCGAGGAAUUGCAUCGGAAACUGUUUUCUUGAGUGCAGAAGAGGAGAGUAGAACUCCAUGUGUAGCGGUGGAAUGCGUAGAUAUAUGGAAGAAUACCAGUGGCGAAGGCGGCUCUCUGGUCUGCAACUGACGCUGAGGCUCGAAAGCAUGGGUAGCGAACAGGAUUAGAUACCCUUGGUAGUCCAUGC
rnacentral:rRNA from 1 species